GGGGUUGUGACUCAGCAGUAGAGCGCUCGCCUUGCACGUGAGAGACCCUAGGUUCGAUCCUCAGCACCA
rnacentral:tRNA from 1 species